AAUUUUCAUUCACUUUUGCCUACAAUAGGCAUUGCAGCCCCUUGCAACAUAGGUUCAAAUUAACCAGAGCACAAGGGAAUAGAUGGGAGAAGAGACGACCAAAAAACACCCGCGCAUGCCUAAUCCUCGUACAAUUGGUUUCUCUUCCUGAAAUAACAUUAGAAGAAUUUGUUAAAGAAAGAUAGAAAUGGUGUUUAAAACUUUAUAUAGCCAACAAGAUUCAUUGUAUGUCAGUCAGAAGGAAAUAUGGUAUGGAAUGACAGGUAGUUAUUUUCAACUAGACAGCUGGUUAUGAAUAUGAAGAGCAGUCUGACAGUCUUUCAGAGAAGAAAACAAAUUAUUAUCUGAAGCAAAGUGCCAAAGCACAUGAGCAGACAGAAGUAAUUGAGUCAGACUGGCACAUUCAGUAGAGUAUUCAGAAGGUCCAUUGCCCCAUGCGCUGUGCUGCAAUUGGAUAUGUCCCAGUUGCUCGAAACACAUGUACUCAGCGUCACACAAUUCCUUAUUAAAUAAGAGCAUGGGGCCAUAGCAAGGAUUUGAACUCGCGUCUGUACCUCAUAACGGAAGCAAGCACCAAAGUCACGUGGUGUGACAAAGAAAUGAUCUCCUCCCUUGAUCUAUUUCAGUAAGGUCAUUUCGUCGUAAUCUGCUCAAUUGCGCUGCACAUCUGAAUAGCGUGUGUACAACCAAAUUGCAUCCUCGGGAUUAAAAUCUGGAUCACACUUGGCAACAGAAACCGUUCCAUGAAGAUCUCCACGGCGAACAUGUAGUUCAGGCAUCUUGGUUCCUUCUUCAGCGGCUUGCUGUAUUUUUCAGGGAGACCAUAGAUAUACAUAUACACCUUGAGCCCCCCGGCAGAGUCAUCAUCAGCACUUCCUAUAUUCUGUUGGCCACAGGACAUGUACUAGUUUUGCCCAAAUGUAGAGGAAAGAAUAUACCAAGUUUGAGGGCAUUGCUUCUGAUCACAUAGCACUUUGAUUGAAAGCAUGGUAUGAUACUAUGACAGAUAGGUAAGCAAGGUGCAGAUCUAACCCUAGACUAGACGGUAUGAAUCAUGAUCCCUGAAACUGAAAGCAAGAAACAUGUCUUGACUGAAUCAACAAAGUGUCAAUAGCAUCAGGUGCUUGAUAAAACAUGGUUAGAAUUGAACCAGAAACUAGACGAAUCACUUGGGGUGUAGAUUCGAACACCAACAGAAACUACCAUUCCACCACCUAUCUAUAUAAUCCAUUUGCAUCUGAUAUGAAAUAGGCCUUACAGCAGACCAGACUAGUGAAACGGGUCAGAGAUCCCGAGCUAGACGAAGCCAUUCUGCCCGCUAUGCUAUGCUAUCUCUACCAAUGGAAACCACGAAUUUCUCAGACCAAUCAGGUGCAUCGCGCAUCCAUCCAUACCUUGGAUCCUCCCGGCCCCCUGCCCCCCGGCGGCGGCGGCCAAGAAGGAGAGGAGCAAUGCCGGCACCGCCGCCGCCGCCGCCGCCGCCGCCAGGGC
rnacentral:lncRNA from 1 species